rnacentral:lncRNA from 1 species
GCCCUGCUACCUGCCAUCAGGCGCCGAGGGGUCCCCCCGCCCCUCUCAAAGGCACGGGGGGUCGGGCUACUUCCCCAAAGUUGCCGCUGGCUCCGUCGAGGUCAGCGAAAGCUGCGGGGCUGGGGGUGACGACGGGACGGGCGAGAAGCGGGGCGCCAGGCAGAAAUAUUUACCCCCGCAGUGCAGGAGUCUUACACAAAGCCAUGAAGGAGCGAGAAAUGUUUGUAAAAGAACAGGAAAAUGGGAUUGUAAAACUGCCGAGUGUCCCCCAGGGAAAUCAGCUAGAUUUUGCUGUGAGCACCUCAGCGGUCUCAAGCGAAUAGAUCGUGAGACUAGAUCCAUCAGAGCGUAUUGUUCCAGCCGUGGAAUGCUUUUGAAGAUGCGAAUCACUCGCUCAAAAUCCUCUAAAGUUCAUUCUGAGUUCUGGGCAAAAUGCCAACCGCUUUCAGUGCGAGGCAAACCUCAGUUGAAUCGGAUUAUGCUGCUAGGAGAUUCUCCGCUAUCCUAUCCCCCCUAUGGCAACCACAUGUUUCCAUGAGUGGAGAAAAGAUGAGGUUCAUUCUUCCUGACGGCACUUGGAAGUGGAAGAAGCAGAGCCUCAAAGGCUUCAGAUGUUUCCCCUAGCCUGAAACUGAUGUGUCACAACUUUAUUUGCAGAGCUGAUCAUUAUGUGCAGCCUUCUUCGUUGUACGCUGUUGCCUUUUGGGUUCGGCACCCCAUAAUCACAUGUUCCUCUCUAUCUCAUAUACCUCUACUACAUAUCUGUUAAUAUUUUCAAGUCCUUCAUUAAACAUGCUUUCUCCAAAAUUAUGUCUGUUUGACAACUGCAAAUAUUCUGGAAAUACUCUGUGUCUAUGAUGACAACAUUUAGAUAAGAAAUGUGUUUGCUUCCUUAUGUUCAAUGGCCACUUCAGACUAAUCUGACAGCUGAACGAUCAGAACAAUAGCGUUUGUGUAACUUUAUUUCUACUGAUUAAACCAAAUGAAUGUAUACCUGAAGUCCAAUUUGUGAUCUGCCAAUAAAGAGGAGAUCUGUAGGAAGAUAUUAUCCUCA